rnacentral:tRNA from 1 species
GGAGGGAUGGGUGAGCGGUUGAUACCGGCGGUCUUGAAAACCGUUGUGCCAGAAAUGGCACCGGGGGUUCGAAUCCCUCUCCCUCCGCCA